UUGGUAACCAGGCACAGUGAAGCCCAUGAUCAUGAAGAUGUGUUACCCAAGGUAAGGCUCAUCCAUUGCUUCCCAGAUGUGCUGAUCUCAUAAGAUUCCCCAAAUGUGGAAAAUAUACCCACACAUUUUGUACAAGUAAAAUACUUUGUUCACACUAAA
rnacentral:snRNA from 1 species